GUGGGUCGGAUCGGCCCAAUGGCAGGGAGGGAGAGUCGGGCGGUGGGGAGGGCCUUCGGGGCAGAGUCCGGCCGGUGGUGGCGCCCUUCGCCCCGCCCAUAAUGGUGGCCGCCUCCGUGGCUGGUUAGGUAGUUUUGUUGUGUUCUGUGGCCGCUGAGGAAACAUAGGCUGAGGCUGGCGGUGUCACGAUGCCUCACCUCUGCAAAUAGAAUUGGCCUAUUUCCACGUUACUCUGGACUGUGACUCCUGAGAAAACAAUGCUGAUGACAGAGAAUAUCAGAAAGAGAGAAAUCCAUUUCGAGUCAACAUGCAUGCUGAGAUGUCAAAAGACACAGUGCACAAAUAGCUCCGCUUUGUGUUUUUUUAUGCAAAGUAUUGGCAAGUAUCUGUGUUCCAGCAUCACUGAUUCAGACAACUUCAUACCAGCUGUCAUCAUCCUUGCUUCAGCAUUCAGUUGAAAAACAAUCAAAGUGAAAAUUACACUAUUCAAAUAAAGUGCUUCAAUCUAUCUUUGAUCUGAUCACUCAGAAUCCCAGUUUAUGAAAGAGAAUUUUACUUGUAUUUCUAAGCAUUUCUUUUAAGUUGAUAUUGUAUUUUUAGAAUAUCGUACUAACCACCCAAAGUAACAUCAUUAAUUAAAUCACAUGAACUAAUUCACGCCAGUUUCCUGGAGACUACUCACUGGCAUUUGAAGACAAAAAUGAGCAAACAAUCACACAAACAAAAAACAACACCUUUCUUCUUCUACAUUAAAUCCCUUGAUAACUUUAAAAUAAACUACAACCGGAAUCUUUGUCUUUGCAAAAGUAUAUAUUAUUUAAAUAAAAGAUUGUACAUCUGUAAAUUUCCAAUUAAAUAAUGAGUGAAUAAUAAGACUGAUGAGAUUGUAUUCAAAGACUGAUAAAUCUGAGAAAACUUGUGUGUAUGUACAUGCAUAUAUAGAAAUAGUCUUACCUUUUGUGAAUUAAUUUUGUUCUGAUAAGGGCGUUAUGUAGAAAGAUUGUUAUUGAGGGUUGUGGGAGGUUUUUAUUUCUUUUGUUGUUGUUGUUGUUCAUUUUUUGUUGCUAUUUGAUUUGGUUUUUGUUUUUCUGCCAAAACUGAAAUGGAGAGAUAGAAGAAAUGGAAAUAUGAAACAAAAUUUCAUAAGUAUAAAACAUGAAUUUAUCAACAUUUUCAGGAAAGUCAGGUCUGAGUCAUCUACUCUACCUUACUUCAAAAUGACAGUAUCUACAAGAAAGAGUUUAAUGCGUCAUAUAUUUUUAGUUUAGCCAAAUGUCUUUGCCCUUCUGAACAUCAUUGUUCCUCAUACAGUAACUGUCCUAUCUUCCAAGUAGAGGCUACAUCUUUGAACACCUCUUGGACUUCUAAAAUGAACCUCUACAUCCAUUUUUAACUGCAAUUAUUUGAAGUCUUCUAGAGGUGCUUAACAAACUAUGAGCUUUUGAAUAGCAGGUCAAAAGGAGAAAGUGUCUUCCAAGGAGAUUGGUGUGGGUUUUUGUAUUUCAGAGUACAGUUCAUGGGUGAUAAAUUCUCAAGAACCAAACAUAAUUGAAG
ensembl:lncRNA